UAUUGAGGGAAACCCGUAAGGAACAUCAUCAUUUUAUUGCCCUGGCCAUGCUUCCUCUAAUGCCUGAAACGCAAAGACCCCAGAUGCCCUCAGUGCCUUCCCCACUGAACACACUCCUGCAUCACCCUGGUCACACUGAAAUCCAAGUACAACUGAUGCCCUCUGAAACCACAGUCUUGGGCUGAAGUCUAGUAAGAUUUGGUGAAGGGAGAAAAGGUGUUCCUGUGGAAGGAAAAGGCUGUGUUUAUCAUAAAUUUCACUGGAAUAACCACUGUUCUGAACAACGUAAUACUGAGGUCUGUUCAUGGGAGGCUGAGGGCUGCAGGUACUGGAAGAUGAACUUUCAAAGGAAAAUAAUGUUCCAAAGGGUGAUGAUGAUCUCUGUAAUUCUGUUAAAAGAGUUAUUUUAAGGAGGCAAAGGAAUUACAGGAGAAAACCUUUUAUGAUCAAUAACAAACGCUUCUUGUGACAACAGAGAUCACUGAGGUCAGGAGAUUCUUAUGUACUUUUCCAUAUUUAAAACCUAACCUACCUGAUUUGUUCCAAAUACAAAAUUCUCUUGCAAGAGAAUCUUCUACAGACAGGUAAUUUAUGUAUGCUACAGGAUGUGCACACAACCUACUUAUCUGUAGUGAUGGCUUUCACUUUGGUUGGUUCUGAAGGAACCUGCGGGCACUUGUGGCAGCUGUACAAAGGGCACAGAAUUUUGUCAGUGUACACUGACAGUCUGUAUUUUUCAUUAAGAAAAACACAUGGGGGAAAAGUGGAAGAUUUCUGAGAGUAUUCUGGUGUUUUCCUGCCAGCCACAAGAUGGUGCAGAGUACCAGCAAAGACAGACUGAUCAUUACCGCGCUCAUCUCUGCAUUACCCGGGUCAUGGCUUGACAGUAUGGGAUUUUCUUGCUCAGCGGCAAAGGACAGGAAUCUCUGCUGACGAUCAGGCUGUUAUGCCUUGAUGUUAGCUCCUUGUAGGAAGCGUACUGUAUAAUGAGACACAAGCAAGCAGGAUCUGAUGCCUUGCUGGCUGAUAACCAAUACUGAAUAGAUUGCAGUUGUUUGAAUUGAUCAUUGAGGGCAAGGUCAUGAGCGCUCAAGUGAGCAUCAGAUGGAGUCCAGCUCACCCAUACAAUGCAGGUCAACACUGCAGAUGAUAACCUGGAGUUGGACUUGUGAGGAAGCCAGGCAACCUUCUGGAGAGAGGACUUGGAGCUGUCUUCCACAGAGGGAUGUAAAAUCUUACAAAUGCAGUGCAUCAUCAGCCUCAGGCCCUUCUACAAUGACGCUGAUGGCUGAUAUUCAGAAAGGAUGGUUUUGUUAUUAAUCCUUCUAGUCAAACUGAUGUGACCACAGUUUGAUUUAAAUAGCUGCAUUUGGGACUGUACCUCUGCGUCUGUCCUGGUAAUUUUCAACAGGGAGGACAAGGAACCUGAACAAAGCUGGGGUGAGCUGCUUUUCCAGACGUGCUUUCUAUUUUAUUUUCUAUUUCAGUGUAUUUCCCUUCUCUAAAGCAAAUCUUUCUACCUUUGAGUUUUUGCAUUUAGAUCUCUGUAUAACACAGGCAUAAACAUUUUGUCCUAGUGUUUGUACACAGACAAUGGAAUGGAAUGAAAACAAGAGCAGGAUGUUUCCUCUCUCCAAGGCCUUGGAAGAAUUUUAAGCUGAAUUCUCCCCUAGAGAGCCCCUGCUGGUGUGAGUGUAUGUCUUGCAUGGGCAUUCACCCUUCUUCAGUCCGCAGCCUCCAAAGGUGCAGUGUGCUGAAAGAAAUGGACUCAGUCCUCACUUCAGUGUGGGGAGCGGAAAGAUAUCCUAGUACUUCUUCAUGGCUCCCUUUGAGUCAUAUUCUGCUCUGGCUGUGGAAUGAGACCUUGCUGCCUGCUGCUUAUGUGCUAACACAGCAGGUAGUAACCACAAUUACAAAUUUGCAAGGAACCACACAAACAAUCCAAUUCUGUUCCAGUCCUGCACCAAAACCAACAUUCCUCUUGAGAUCAGGUGUGAAAUCGUUUGUGUGUGUGUGACUGAAGGUGAGAGUUCAGGAGGAAAGUCUUAGUUAGAAAUGUUUUAUCUUAGAUGCAGUACCACUAUGGUAUCAGAUGGAACCUGAAGGUGAACACGAGAUGCUCUGCAGAAGAACUUCUCCAUCUUUUAUAGUGGUGGCAGGGACAGCAUUAAAAGAACAAAAUAAAGGCACUGUAUCCCACCUCAGGCUCAAAGUCACAAUCCCCAGAGAGGCUGUUUUUUUCAGUUUAUGCUAUUAGAUCGUCCUGAUCAGAUUUGAUUCGGGAAUUAUGUCAGGGCUCAUCUAUUACCCUUAUUGCAUGACAGAUAAUAAUGCCAGGAAGUAAAAACUAUUCUCAGCAGGAAGAAAUACCAGUGAGAAAUAGCAGGUAGAUGCUGUUUCCUUAUAGAAAACAUGUUUUUUAAUAAAAGUACCCUUUUGGUACAAGUAAUAUAAUUUUUCAUUUUCACUCAACAUAUUCACAUUUUCAUUUUAGACAUGUCUGUCUCUGUAGAAUGCAAGAGCAAGAUACUGAAAUGACAAUUACAGCCAAAACCUGUGAUUUUACAUUCAGCUGAUUGCUUUUGACCAAUUUAAGAACCUUAGUAGCCUGCUGAAAUCCUUGCAGAGUAAGUGAAAGUUUAAUGAAUGCACAAACAGCAAGUGCACAUUUGGAGUACAGGCAGACUUGUUUCUACCUGGUAACGUGUACCAGCCCUGGAACAGUUCAGAGAAAGGAUUAGCAGAAAGAGACACUGCUGAGGAUUAACAAUUACAGUAAGAAUUCGGCUCAUUCGUCCUUGGAAGUGACAGGUGUAAAAGUAAAAGAAAAAAACUGUGUCUCUUGAAUGGUUUAUUACACAAGAAUUUCUUAAGACAUACACCAGUGUAACUGGUACUUUUAGUAGAUAUAGAAAUGUAAAGUGGAAGGCAGCAUUUGCAAUUGUUACUUUGCAAGGCCAGUUAUCUGCAGGAGCUGCCUUUCUGGAAGAUUUUGCUUUGGUGAGGGAGGUGAUGACUGAUUUUGAGCCACGAAAAUGCACGACUCUAUUCACAGAACACAAGAAGCUCGCUGUGUGAUGCCACGGACAAAGCAGCUGCACGUGUAGCAGAAGCACUUUCUUGCAAGUGUGAAGUCUAAUAUCACCCCCUGGCUGGAGACAAUCCAGCAAAGCUGGGAGAGCCGGCUGCGCACAAAUACAGCAUCUCCUAGGCACAUGGUCAGAGACUGCAGGAGCAGUCAGGGCAGGUUUAUAAGAUGGAUGCGUGCAAAUAUCCCAGGCUUCCACCUCUAUAGAGAGCAGCUGCUAGAGGUCUGCUCCAUCCCUCAUUCCCCCAGGUGAGAUGCUUGGGGUGGAUAUUAAGUAUGCCAUGGGGGAUGGAACACAGGUUUCUCCACGCCUAAUCGGGAAGCAAACGUAUAGGCAUGGAAUACAACAAGUACAAUGAUGUCAGUGCAUGGAGGGGGGUAAGAAACCUUUUUCUCACUCAAGCGCUAUUUGGAGGAAUCCAAAGUAAGCCCAGCGCUCACAUGGUGCAGGUGAAGGAAUUUUGCCUGGCACGAGGCAUAAGUUAUCAAGGAACAGCAAAGAAAUUACAGCAUUACUGUAUUUUCAUGAGUGAAACUUGAACCUCGUGCCACCUUAGAUAAAAUAAUUCACUGUGAAAGCAAGCCCUCAGAUAGCCUGUAUCCUCAGAUAACCCAGAGACUGUACACAGGAAUCUAUACCACUUUUAUCAGCUGGAUUUGCAAGUGAGACACGGGCAGUUUAGGCAUGGAAAUACAAAAGGAUUGGGAAAGGGUUGUGGAAGAUGCCAUUUUUUUCCCCUCACAAACGUAUACGUUGGGAGCAUUGUUCAGGAGCAGGUUUGUUGCUCAGGAGCAGGUUUGUUGCAUGGCUGUUCCUGAUGCAAAAUGCCCCAUGAUGGAAUAUGGAGGAGAAUGCUGCGGGACCAGUAUGACCUUGCAGCGGGCUUCCAGGACGACAGGUUUGCUCAUAAAGCCAGAGACUUACGUGCAAUUAGGUCAUUCCAUCUUUGAUCAUUUCUUGUUCCAUAAGGUGCAGAAAAUAUUUACAUUCAAUAUGCAAGUUCUUUCUUCAAUUCCUUGACAGCAGCUUGCUUUAAUUAUAUGUGUGCUGACAGGACUACAGAGAGAUCCCAUGUGACCACAGUGGAAGGGAAGAAAGCUUAUCAUCAGGUGACAGAAGAAUGCCCUUAUUGUUAGCACCAAUACCUACAAACAGACCUUUCCAGAGCGUCAUACACCGAUACAAAUACACCGCUCCUUUGGCACUGAGCAAGUAUGUUAAUAAUAGGAGAACCGAGGAAGGGCUGCAUCUGAACUGCUCCCCCAGGGGACACACGCACCUCCAGAUCUGAAGCAUGCAGCGGGACUUUAUUGUGCUUAGUGCUGUGCAAACACAGCAGCACAAAAUGGAUUCUGCUCUGAGAAGAUGAGAUCACUUCCCAGCCCGGCUGUCACUGCAGUAAGGUCAAGAAAUAAUUCCAGAUUUAUUACAGUGAAAGUUAACAGAAUUAGAUCCUCCAGGUUCAAAUUUGCACAUGGGGGCAUAUUUUCAUCAAGCCAUCUCCUGCACAUCAGGAAAUAAUCCAGACUUCUCCUCCUUUCUGUACUUCAUUCAGCAAACCAGCUGCUCCAAAGAUCAAUACAUUUUGCAACAGGAAAUCAUCUGCAUUGUAGCACACAGAAAGUUAAUCAGAAAGCAGUGCUCGCUUCCAGCUGAUGGAGUGCUGGGGAGAGUUCGACCAAGGUGUGCCUGGACCCAUCCCGGAACACAACUGCAAGCUGAGCUCUAGGUGGCUGCAUGGCUGUCUCACCAACCUGGCAUUUGAAAGCAACACCUUGCUUCCCCUUAUCUAAAAUGGAACUGGUAGCACUUGGUUAUCUCACAGGAUGAGCUGAAAUGGGCACAUUCAGACACAAGCACGCAGAGCAAGCCAGCGCUGGGUGGGCACUCUGCCAUCAGUGGCCGCAGCAGCCUCAGCUGGUGGUGGGAGCUGCAAAGCUGGAUUUACCACCCUGCUGGCCUGUGGCCAGCAGCAUAACCUCACACACUACCAUGCCAGCCAAAGGCUUCCCCGCCUCCUUCACUGCAGAUUUCAAGCAAGAGACACUCUCGGAAUGAACGCACUGUGCGCGAGGGAAAGGGCUGGUGCGUUUGGCUGGAUCCCAUGCUACAACCAGACCUGACCUGGGCAGCCCACUGCACGAGCAAAACUGUUGUUCCUUCCAGUGACACACGCGCACAUGUGCCAGGAGCUCGGCCACCCAGCCACAUCGAUCCCCACUCACACCCUGAAGCGCCUCUGCCAGAGCCGUUCCCGACUUAACCGAACAUCUUUCAUCUCCCCAUUGAUUAGUUGUCACGAGGAGGGAACACUGUAAUCAAUGAACCUCUCAGUUGCUGUCAGCAUAUGCAGCCCCCAUAUAAAUCCUAUUAUUUUCUGGUUUAUUAUUUUAUUUUCUGCUUUUAUUGUCUCUCUGAAAGAAAAUUGCUUCCUAAUUAAAUGCAUCAAAACCAUAAUACAGUAACCUAAGGUAUUUUCCUACUUUACUUCCCCAUAAAGGAUUACUGCCACAAGAGUGAUUGUCAAAGGCA